rnacentral:rRNA from 1 species
UACAACUUUCAACAAUGGAUCUCUUGGCUCUUGCAUCGAUGAAGAACGCAGCGAAAUGCGAUAAGUAAUGUGAAUUGCAGAAUUCAGUGAAUCAUCGAAUCUUUGAACGCACCUUGCGCUCCUUGGUAUUCCGAGGAGCAUGCCUGUUUGAGUGUCA